rnacentral:rRNA from 1 species
UGGGGAAUCUUGGACAAUGGGCGCAAGCCUGAUCCAGCCAUGCCGCGUGCAGGAAGAAGGCGUUAUGCGUUGUAAACUGCUUUUUGCCAGGGGAUAAAAUGAGCGUGCGCGCUUAAUUGAAGGUACCUGGAGAAUAAGCCCCGGCAAACUUCGUGCCAGCAGCCGCGGUAAUACGAAGGGGGCUAGCGUUGUUCGGAAUUACUGGGCGUAAAGCGCACGUAGGCGGAUUGUUAAGUCAGAGGUGAAAUCCCGGAGCUCAACUUCGGAACUGCCUUUGAUACUGGCAAUCUAGAGUCCGGAAGAGGUUAGUGGAAUUCCCAGUGUAGAGGUGAAAUUCGUAGAUAUUGGGAAGAACACCAGUGGCGAAGGCGGCUAACUGGUCCGGUACUGACGCUGAGGUGCGAAAGCGUGGGGAGCAAACAGGAUUAGAUACCCAGGUAGUCCCUGAGCGGGCUGGCAAGGCGCAU